rnacentral:rRNA from 1 species
AUGAAGAUUAUGCAGUUUGCUUUCCGGAGGAUACGUUCCCUACUUUCAUCUGAUGCAAAGUGUCUUAAGCCGUGUUUGUCUCGUCACUCUUCUACCUUUGAAAAUUUUGAUACUUAUCCAGUGAGUAAUGCAAUUUGGCAUUCUAGGGAGGUCGACAUGAAGGAUCUUGGAGAUCCUGUCAAUUUCUUUGGCAGGAACCGAAUGUUUGAUUCAAUAUUAUACAACAAGCUUGUAGGCAGACCUAAAAGCAAGGACGGAAGGAAGAUCAAUCCUUAUCUUGCCAAGAUUAUCAAGAUGAACCCAAAAAUGGUUUCUGAAAUAUUUGCUUAUGCACUGAGAUCAUUGGCGGUUAUUACUGUGGAAAACCAUCGGAGGGGGGUUCCUUUAGGUGCUGCUGUGGAGCUAUCUAACCUGAGGAUCUCUUAUUCUUGUGGUAAGUUUGUCUUGCUCAAUAUCCUGCCAAAGUCACCUGGCUAUAAGGGGUUGACUCUGCAACAGAGAUGUAAUGAUUGGAUAGCAAUAAGAGAUCUUGUGAAGAAGUUGGUAGAGAAGGUUUGCGGGAGUGGUGUUCAAUAUCCUGUGGAUUUUGCCCACUGGCUUGAGAAGUUGGGUGAACCUCAGCCACCAAUAUUCCUGAUACUAUAUCAUACCGUGUUCCUAAGAUCGAAUGCCCGUUUCUAUUACCAUGUUUCAAUGGAUCAGUUCUGCAGGAAGGAGCCAAGGGGCAAGUUCAACAUGAUUAUGAAUGAUUCUGAUUUGCAUGAGAUGCUGAGAGAGAUAGGUGACCUUAGAGAUCUGUUAAACCUUGCCGAACUGAAUGAGUUUCUAAAGUGCUGUAUAGCAGGUGACGAUGGAACUCAAGCAGCUGCAGCUAAAUAUCCAAAGGGCGGGCAACCAAGCAAUGGUACAGGCCAGCAGGGUCAAGCACCACCAGCCACAGGCCAGCAGGGUCAACCACCAGCAGCCACAGGCCAGCAGGGUCAACCACCAGCAGCCACAGGCCAGCAGGGUCAAGCACCAGCAGCCACAGGCCAGCAGGGUCAACCACCAGCAGCCACAGGCCAGCAGGGUCAACCACCAGCAGCCACAGGCCAGCAGGGUCAAGCACCACCAGCCACAGGCCAGCAGGGUCAAGCACCACAACCAGCUGCUCGAGGUGGCCAGAGUCAAACAUUCACUUCAAGUAAUGCUCCACCACAAGGUCAGCCAUCUCAAGCCCAAGGGAACUCAAUCCCACAAGGACAGGCAUUUCAAACUCAGGACCCUCAUGCACUGCUUCAGUAG